rnacentral:rRNA from 1 species
AGUGAACGCUGGCGGUAGGCCUAACACAUGCAAGUCGAACGGCAGCACAGUAAGAGCUUGCUCUUACGGGUGGCGAGUGGCGGACGGGUGAGGAAUACAUCGGAAUCUACUUUUUCGUGGGGGAUAACGUAGGGAAACUUACGCUAAUACCGCAUACGACAUACGGGUGAAAGCAGGGGAUCUUCGGACCUUGCGCGAUUGAAUGAGCCGAUGUCGGAUUAGCUAGUUGGCGGGGUAAAGGCCCACCAAGGCGACGAUCCGUAGCUGGUCUGAGAGGAUGAGCAGCCACACUGGAACUGAGACACGGUACAGACUCCUACGGGAGGCAGCAGUGGGGAAUAUUGGACGAUGGGCGCAAGCCUGAUCCAGCCAUACCGCGUGGGUGAAGAAGGCCUUCGGGUUGUAAAGCCCUUUUGUUGGGAAAGAAAAGCAGCAGGUUAAUACCCCGCUGUUCUGACGGUACCCAAAGAAUAAGCACCGGCUAACUUCGUG